CUGAGUGGCUUUCCAAAGAAACCUGUAUUGUGUAAUUCAUGUGUAAGGUGAUCAGUAGUCUACAACCUCUGUAAUAGGCCAUUAUUUUGAGUACUGACCAAAUUGUAUCAUUAAGGAAAAGCUUUCAAGAACCAUACUCCAAGAGAGACUUAGGUUUAUGUGUUGAUACCUGUCCUGUUCCUGUACACCUAAAAUCAUCAUUGCAGAGAAAGAGCACAGUUUGGCCUUAAACUUGGGGGAAUUAAUAUAAGUCAGGUGCCUAGCACUGAAUAUAUCAAAACUCCUGUCUGAAUCAGUACCACAAUUGUCUGGUAAACAUCUUCAUGUAUGAGUGUAUGUAUGCAUUUGGAAUGUCAUAGCUAGGGUCAAAAGUGAGACCUUAUUGUCUUCAAGAGUCAUGAUGACUGAAAGUCAUGAUCAAGAGGAUUAUUAUAAAGACAAACUCAUCAUAGGUGAAGGUGAAAUUCUGGGGUAGGAUUGUCAGAACAUGUUGGAACUCAUUACUUUUCUCUAGGCAUUUUAUUUGGGGCUUGAGACAAGGAAUUCUUGAAAGAAACUCAUGUUACCCAAUCCUGUCUAUGCGCUCAAAAGUGAAAAAUAAAUGUUCCUUCUAUAAACUUUGUUUCAGGGAUUUAUAAUUCUUAAGAGCUGGGAACAUUCAAGAUUCAGUCCUUCCCUGUUUUUCUCCUAAUGUGUCUUUGAGUAAGACAUCUUACCAAGGGUUGAAACACUGCAUUGAUAGUAUAUUUCUGGUUUUCUUUGGUCACAGAUAUAUGCCAAAAAGCAAUUGACUGGAGAAGAUGCUCUUCUAGGGCAUACAAGUUUACACAUUGGAACACAUCCUCAGAUGAAGACUCCCCGCCCCCACAUGCACAUAUGUCAGCUUGGCUCCAGGAAUAGGCACAAACUCAUGUGGCACCCGGGUUUCCUGCUUUCCAGAAACCAUCUCUGUGGGAUUUCAUGACCAGGAUCUCAUCAUUGACUCCACCAUGUGAGACAAUUUAGAUGGUGCCUUGCCCAAAGAAGAUCAGAGCUCCUCUUCCAUACACACUCUUGCCAAUAAAGUUCACAUCUUUGGAAACCAGGAAGCAUCUCUCCAUAAGGCCCCACUGGACUGAUGGUCAGGAAGAAAUGAGUGGACACUGCAGAGGACAUCUAUAUAUCCUUGUUAGGAGAUGGUGAUGUUGAUGGAGUGCACACCAGGCCAUUGAACAUGCCAGGUAUUUUCUGUGGGUCUCCAUAUGGAAGCAUCUGGGGAGGAGUUUUGCCUGCCAGGUAACUGUUGGUCAGCUCCCCAGAGGUCCACUAAAAUUCUUGCUGAGGAGGAAUUAUAUUCCAUGGUUCAAUGGGCUUUGAUUACCAUGUCUUAUACAGACCUGGGCAAUCCCAGGAUGCCAAGCCCACCCAUUCCUCAAAAACCAAAGGCCAAGCCUACCAGCCAUUGCUUAUGAUGCUGCAUGCAACAUGGUCGAAAAAAACUGACCCAUUCAUUUGGAGAGAAUGUGUAGCAAGAAUGCUGCCUAGUGGUGCAUGUGCAAUGCUCAGACACAUGUUGGGGCCAGUUUUCCCAAGAUAGCAUAUACACAUACAGGCUGAGGGCUUUGGGUGCCAAGCUGCAGCACUCCCGCCACCCCUCAAUCCUUGCUGGAAUCGUGAGUCAGUCCCCAUGAAUUCGAGUAUCAUGCACAUGGCCCACCAGGUCAGGGCCAAAGGGGAAGGGUAUUGUCAUAGCUUCCCUACCUUUCUCUAUACAGACCCCAUGCCCAAAGAUUCCACCUGGCAUAUGGUGGGAAAUUGGCCCAAUAUGGGAAUAGGCCCUGAGCCAGGUGCCCAAAUGGCCAACCUGUGCUUCAUAAACGAUCUCUUGUAAGUUGAGCUGGCGGAAAGAAGACAGAGGCUCGUGGGGACUGCCUUGGUUGGGUAAAUGAUGAGAACUCAUAUGGUCUUGAACAGAGAUGAUGACAUAAAAAUCAUGCUCAAUCAGAUUACACUGAGACCCAAUCGAAGAGACAAUCAUGGGGUGGGAUCCAGGAGACCAUGGGGCACUUGGAAAUUGCAGGCAAAUUAGGAUUGAGGUGACCAAUCCCUCAAGGCCCCCAGUGUGGCUCUCCCCAGGCUUGGGGGCUUGAAUGUGACCAAAUUGGGCUCGUGCAAUGGUGAUUUGUGUGCUCGUAACUAGUUACUCUGGAUACAUCUCAUUUGCAGCCUUGGAUUAGCUCCCUUGAUGUCCAUGUGUCUUUCAGUGGAACAUCAUCGUGACUGGGUCUCGAGGCAGCACCAAUAAGAAGAGGUGAGUGCAUCCCUGUGCUCAUACACUGAGGCAAGGGAUUGCGUGGUCC